CUACAGUUCUGUAAAAAAUGUUUCCAAAAAGGAAACUGUGUCUCCAAUAGUCGUUGAAGGUGAGACCAUCUACAGCAGUGUAGUUUGCCAGUAAGAGUGACUGAUGUACUGUUUGGCUGGAAGGAAACUGUGGGUGGUGCCUCAGGGAUCUCUACUGGGUUCUUUACGUUGUUAUUGUUUUUUUUUUUGUUUGUUUAUUUAUUUUAGCUCUCCACUAUUAAUUAUCUUGCCUUUUCAUACUCAGUAUACAGUUCACAACAAGAUUUCAAUUAUUUAACUCAAUAACCUCUGUAUUCUUUCCUUACAAAACAAAUUUCAACAAGGGGCAAAAGAUCAAAAUGAAACAUUAUGGUGACAUUAAACUUCACUUAA